CCGCACAAGCGGUGGAGCAUGUGGUUUAAUUCGAUGCAACGCGAAAAACCUUACCUGGGUUUGACAUCCUUUGACCGUCCCUGAAAGGGGAUUUUCCCGAUUUUUUCGGGACAAAGUGACAGGUGCUGCAUGGCUGUCGUCAGCUCGUGUCGUGAGAUGUUGGGUUAAGUCCCGCAACGAGCGCAACCCUUGUCUUUAGUUGCCAGUAUUAAGUUAGGCACUCUAAAGAUACUGCCACGGUUAACGUGGAGGAAGGUGGGGAUGACGUCAAGUCCUCAUGGCCUUUAUACCCAGGGCUACACACGUGCUACAAUGGGCUAUACAAAGGGCAGCCACUCUGCAAAGAGGAGCCAAUCCCAAAAAGUAGCCCUAAGUUCGGAUUGGAGUCUGCAACUCGACUCCAUGAAGCUGGAAUCGCUAGUAAUCGUGGAUCAGCACGCCACGGUGAAUACGUUCCCGGGCCUUGUACACACCGCCCGUCACACCACGAAAGUUGGUUGUACCAGAAGUUGCUAGGCUAACCACUGAUUUAUCAGAGGAGGCAGGCACCUAAGGUAUGGCUGAUGAUUGGGGUGAAGUCGUAACAAGGUAACCAAGGGCGAA
rnacentral:rRNA from 1 species